UCAAGCGUCUUAAGGGCAUCUGGUGGAUGCCUCGGCGGCAGGAGGCGAUGAAGGACGUGGUACGCUGCGAUAAGCCGCGGGGAGCUGCGAACAAGCUUUGAUCCGCGGAUCUCCGAAUGGGGAAACCCACCGCCUCGUGCGGUAUCCCGCACCGAAUACAUAGGUGUCGGGAGGCGAACCCGGGGAACUGAAACAUCUCAGUACCCGGAGGAAAGGAAAUCAACCGAGACUCCGCGAGUAGUGGCGAGCGAAAGCGGACCAGCCCAGUGCCUCUCCGAAGGUAACCGGAAGCAGUUGGAAAAUUGCGCCAUAGAGGGUGAUAGCCCCGUACGGGUAAGAAUAGGAGAGGCCUCGAGUAGGGCGGGGCACGUGAAACCCUGUCCGAACAUGGGGGGACCACCCUCCAAGGCUAAGUACUCCCUGCCGACCGAUAGUGCACCAGUACCGUGAGGGAAAGGUGAAAAGCACCCCGACGAGGGGAGUGAAACAGACCCUGAAACCGGAUGCCUACAAGCAGUAGGAGCCCAAGGUUCGUCCUGGGUGACUACGUACCUUUUGUAUAAUGGGUCAGCGACUUGGUCUGGCAUGCAAGCUUAAGCCGUUAGGUGUAGGCGCAGCGAAAGCGAGUCUGAACAGGGCGUUCAGUAUGUCGGACCAGACCCGAAACCAGUCGAUCUAGCCAUGGCCAGGUUGAAGGUGGGGUAACACCCACUGGAGGACCGAACCCACGUCUGUUGAAAAAGGCGGGGAUGAGCUGUGGCUAGGGGUGAAAGGCCAAUCAAGGCUGGAGAUAGCUGGUUCUCCGCGAAAGCUAUUUAGGUAGCGCCUCGUGUGAAUGCUCCGGGGGGUAGAGCACUGUUUAGGCUAGGGCCCCUCACCGGGGUACCAAACCUAGGCAAACUCCGAAUACCCGGAAGCACUGCACGGGAGACACACUACGGGUGCUAAGGUCCGUGGUGGAAAGGGAAACAGCCCUAACCGCCAGCUAAGGUCCCCAAGUCGUGGCUAAGUGGGAAAGGAAGUGAGGACUCCAAGACAACCAGGAGGUUGGCUUAGAAGCAGCCAUCCUUUAAAGAAAGCGUAACAGCUCACUGGUCUAUGCCUUCGGGCAAAGAGUCCUCGCGCCGAAAAUGUAACGGGGCUCAAGCCACGCACCGAAGCUGCGGGUGCAGCACAUUUGUGCUGCGCGGUAGCGGAGCGUUCCGUAAGCCUGUGAAGGCGUACCCGCGAGGGGCGCUGGAGGUAUCGGAAGUGCGAAUGCUGACACGAGUAGCGAUAAAGGGGGUGAGAGACCCCCUCGCCGGAAGUCCAAGGGUUCCUGCCCAAUGCUAAUCAGGGCAGGGUUAGCCGGCCCCUAAGGCGAGGCCGAAAGGCGUAGCCGAUGGGAACCAGGUUAAUAUUCCUGGGCCUGGAGGAGGUGACGGAUUCCGGCCCCUGUCGAUCCUUACUGGAUUGGGUCGGCAGGCUAGGAGUCCCAGGAAAUAGCCCCUCCGUACAGACCGUACCCUAAACCGACACAGGUGGACUGGCUGAGAAGGCUAAGGCGCUUGAGAGAACCGCGCUGAAGGAACUCGGCAAAUUGCUCCCGUACGUUCGCAAGAAGGGAGGCCCGUUUCCGGGCAACCGGAGGCGGGUGGCACAGACCAGGGGGUGGCGACUGUUUACUAAAAACACAGGUCUCUGCGAAGCCGCAAGGCGACGUAUAGGGACUGACGCCUGCCCGGUGCCGGAAGGUUAAGGGGAGGGGUGCAAGCCCCGAACCGAAGCCCCGGUAAACGGCGGCCGUAACUAUAACGGUCCUAAGGUUGACUGCGAGGUCACGCUCGCGGCAAGGCUUUAUGCCUUGUCGUUCUCGCUAGCCUUAGUAAAACUGAGCUAUAUGCGGGAAACUCCUCGUACAGCCGUCCGGUACUCGUCGGGACGAAGCGCCCGGCAGUAACAAUCCGGCGGACAUGGGGACAAUCCGCAGGAAAGGCCGGCACAUUCUGAAGGAUGUGACGGAAUCCUCAGAGACCAGACGCUCAGGUAGCCGCCCAUGAAGCUCGAAACACAAUGGAUCGUCGGUUUCGUCGAUGGCGAAGGGUGCUUUCAUGUUGGCAUCAGCCGGCAUGAAGACAUGCGCCUCGGCGUGCAGGUGCUGCCGGAAUUCACGGUGGUGCAGCACGAGCGCGACGUGAACAUCCUUUAUGCUCUCAAACGGCACUUCGGAUGUGGCGUCGUGCGCAGGAACAACGGCGAUCGCAUGGCAUGGCGGGUGCGCGACAGACAGCAGCUUCUGGAGCGUAUCGUGCCGUUCUUCAUGAAGCACUCCCUGAAAACCAAGAAGAAGGUCGAUUUCCUGAAAUUCAGGAAAGUGCUUCUUCUCAUGGAAAAGGGAGAGCAUCUCACGCCGGAAGGACUGGAGAAAAUCCAGGCCAUUGCGGCGAGCAUGAACCGCUAUCGAGCUUCAGGGGAUUGACGGCUACAAGAUAGAGUCCGGCCUGAUCGGAAACGGUCAGGGUAAACCGAGCGAAAUUCCUUGUCGGGUAAGUUCCGACCUGCACGAAUGGCGUAACGACCUCCCCACUGUCUCCAGCGCGGACUCAGCGAAACUGAAUUCUCCGUGAAGAUGCGGAGUUCCCGCGGUCAGACGGAAAGACCCCGU
rnacentral:rRNA from 1 species